GGUUGAUCCUGCCAGUAGUCAUAUGCUUGUCUCAAAGAUUAAGCCAUGCAUGUCUAAGUGCAGGCCUUCAUACGGUGAAACCGCGAAUGGCUCAUUAAAUCAGCUAUGGUUUAUUGGAUCAUUUUCGUUAAAUGGAUAACUGUAAUAACUCUAGAGCUAAUACAUGCCAUGAUGCCUUGACCCUACCGGUGGUGUGGUGUACCAACCUGCUCGCUGGCUGGGGAAUGGGUGCACUUAUUAGAUCAGAAGCCAACCAGCGCACACGUUUGAGCCCUCUGUGGGGUGAGAUCGU
rnacentral:rRNA from 1 species